rnacentral:rRNA from 1 species
ACGCUGGCGGCGUGCUUAACACAUGCAAGUCGAACGAGGUAUAGCGAGUGGAAGCUUCGGUGGAAACAUGCUAUUACCGAGUGGCGGACGGGUGAGUAACGCGUGAGCAACCUACCCUGCAACGGGGGACAACAGUUGGAAACGACUGCUAAUACCGCAUAAGACCACGAAACCGCAUGGUUUAGAGGUAAAAGGAUUAAUUCGAUGCAGGAUGGGCUCGCGUCCCAUUAGAUAGUUGGUGAGGUAACGGCCCCACCAAGUCAACGAUGGGUAGCCGACCUGAGAGGGUGAUCGGCCACACUGGAACUGAGACACGGUCCAGACUCCUACGGGAGGCAGCAGUGGGGAAUAUUGGGCAGUGGGCGAAAGCCCUGACCCAGCAACGCCGCGUGAGGGAAGAAGGUCUUCGGAUUGUAAACCUUUGUCCUAUGGGACGAAACAAAUGACGGUACCAUAGGAGGAAGCUCCGGCUAACUACGUGCCAGCCGCAGC